ACGAACGCUGGCGGCAGGCCUAACACAUGCAAGUCGAGCGGAUGACGGGAGCUUGCUCCUUGAUUCAGCGGCGGACGGGUGAGUAAUGCCUAGGAAUCUGCCUGGUAGUGGGGGACAACGUUUCGAAAGGAACGCUAAUACCGCAUACGUCCUACGGGAGAAAGCAGGGGACCUUCGGGCCUUGCGCUAUCAGAUGAGCCUAGGUCGGAUUAGCUUGUUGGUGAGGUAAUGGCUCACCAAGGCGACGAUCCGUAACUGGUCUGAGAGGAUGAUCAGUCACACUGGAA
rnacentral:rRNA from 1 species